GGUGACGUGGGUGAGUGGCUGAAACCACCGGUUUGCUAAACCGGCAUACUCUGAAAGGGGUAUCGCGGGUUCGAAUCCCGCCGUCACCG
rnacentral:tRNA from 1 species